UUCCUACGGGGGGCAGCAGUGGGGAAUAUUGGACAAUGGGGGCAACCCUGAUCCAGCAAUGCCGCGUGUGUGAAGAAGGUCUUCGGAUCGUAAAGCACUUUCGACGGGGACGAUGAUGACGGUACCCGUAGAAGAAGCCCCGGCUAACUUCGUGCCAGCAGCCGCGGUAAUACGAAGGGGGCUAGCGUUGCUCGGAAUUACUGGGCGUAAAGGGCGCGUAGGCGGCUCUGUUAGUCAGGCGUGAAAUUCCUGGGCUUAACCUGGGGACUGCGCUUGAUACUGCGGAGCUUGAGGCCGAGAGAGGGUGGUGGAAUUCCCAGUGUAGAGGUGAAAUUCGUAGAUAUUGGGAAGAACACCGGUGGCGAAGGCGACCACCUGGCUCGGUACUGACGCUGAGGCGCGACAGCGUGGGGAGCAAACAGGAUUAGAUACCCUAGUAGUC
rnacentral:rRNA from 1 species